rnacentral:lncRNA from 1 species
CAUGUAUACAUAUGUAACUAACCUGCACAUUGUGCACAUGUAUCCUAGAACUUAAAGUAUAAUAAUAAUAAAAUUUAAAAAAAAGAAUAAAAAUCACUAAAAGAUUAAGCUUGCCUCAGUUUCGAGAUAAAUGUAUAAGCAUUUAAAAGAGAAGCCUAAAUACCACCACCAGAAUAUGUGGUGACGCAAGGAUAUUUACUAAAGAAUUGAAAGUUGAGUUGCUAAACUUAAUCAACAAUGUUGAUAAAAAUGAAGAUUGCCAACGUAGGUGUUAAGUUUCCAUCAGUAGUGGCAAAACUUGUGAAAACAGACUGAAGUCAUUGGUACAUCAUUAGUGAAGACCGGACUACACCCUGAAACACAUGAGAUACACACCAUUAACUCUUCCAAAGGCUAUACUAAUUCCAAACAUGGAAUAACUGCCACCCAUUUCAUGGCAAAUCUCUUUCUAAUGUGGAUACCUUUCUUAGAAAGAAGCGAUAAGCCUUUGACAAAAGCGUCCUACAUGUAGAAGUGUCCUUGGCAAUGAUCCCUUAAAGGAAAGAAGACAUUGUGCGAAAAAAAGGAAGGCCUUCUUUUGUUCCUCACACCACACCAAAUCCUCCAAGUAUAUGCUCUUACAACAUUCCAAAAUCUUCAUUCACUAGAUUUAACUCAACUAUGUUUAAUUAACUAUUCGUAUAAUCCCCUACAAAACUCCAAACUCCAUAAGGGCAGGUACUUCAUUGUGUAUGUUGUCUUUUACAGGCAAGUCUAGUGUAUGCCUGGUGCAUAUUAGGUCCAUAAGACAUAACGCUAAAGUUAAAAACAAGUGAAUGAAUCACAAUUUACUCUUUGCUAUUAUUUUGUCUCAAAUAUCUGGGAGCACUCAUGUCCUAUUGCCAUAACUGACCUAACCCCCUUGGGUAGUGCCAGAAGAUGUAAUUUGUCUCCUUGGGUCCUUGAAUCACAAUCUGCUCUUCAUUCAUUUUUUUUUUGUCUCAAACAUCUUGGAGCACUCAUAUCCUAUUGCCAUAAUUGACCUACUCCGUCUUGGGUAGUGCCAGAAGACGUAAUUUGCCUCCUUGGGUCCUUUAAUGAAUUGAAUUGUGUUCUCUCAAAAGAUAUACUGAAAUCCUCAACCCCUGCUGCCUAUAAAUGUGACCUUUAUUUGGAAUAGCAUCUUUGCCAAUGUAAUCAAGUAAUAUAAGAUCAUUAGGGUGGGCUCCGAUCCAAUAUGAUUUGUGUCUUUAUAUGAGGAAAAUGUGGACAUAAACACUGAGAGGAGAAUGCCAUCUGAAGACAGGGAGAUGGCCAUGUGAAGACAGAGGCAGAGAUUGGAGGAGUUAUGUUGCCACAAGCCAAGGAGCACUAGGAUUACCAGAAGCUGAAAGAGACAAGGAAGGAUCCUCUCCUAGGGGCUUUGGAGGGAGCAGAGCCCUGACAACACCUUGACUUCUAACUUCUAGAACUGCAAAAGAAUAAAUUUCUGUUACUUUAAGCCAGCAUUUGUAGUACUUUGGUACAGCAGCCCUGAGAAACUCAUGCAAGUCUUUUCAGAAAAGAAGUAAUUCAGAAGCAGAUAAACUGAGAACCUGGGCAAGUGGACAGACUGCAGAAUCAUCUCUGGCACUCAGUGAUCUUCUUGUCCCCUCAUAUUCAGGACUCACUUCACUAG